GACGAACGCUGGCGGCGUGCUUAACACAUGCCAGUCGAACGGAAAGGCCCUGCUUUUGUGGGGUGCUCGAGUGGCGAACGGGUGAGUAACACGUGAGUAACCUGCCCUUGACUUUGGGAUAACUUCAGGAAACUGGGGCUAAUACCGGAUAGGAGCUCCUGCUGCAUGGUGGGGGUUGGAAAGUUUCGGCGGUUGGGGAUGGACUCGCGGCUUAUCAGCUUGUUGGUGGGGUAGUGGCUUACCAAGGCUUUGACGGGUAGCCGGCCUGAGAGGGUGACCGGCCACAUUGGGACUGAGAUACGGCCCAGACUCCUACGGGAGGCAGCAGUGGGGAAUAUUGCACAAUGGGCGGAAGCCUGAUGCAGCAAUGCCGCGUGCGGGAUGACGGCCUUCGGGUUGUAAACCGCUUUCGCCUGUGACGAAGCGUGAGUGACGGUAAUGGGUAAAGAAGCACCGGCUAACUACGUG
rnacentral:rRNA from 1 species